GGGAUUACCUCAGUAACGGCGAGUGAAGCGGUAACAGCUCAAAUUUGAAAUCUGGCAGCAAUGUCCGAGUUGUAAUUUGUAGAGGAUGUUUCGAGCAUGGUCUGGCCUAAGUUCCUUGGAACAGGACGUCAUAGAGGGUGAGAAUCCCGUAUGCGGUCAGGUGCCUACGCUCAUGUGAAACUCCUUCGACGAGUCGAGUUGUUUGGGAAUGCAGCUCAAAAUGGGUGGUAAAUUUCAUCUAAAGCUAAAUAUUGGCCAGAGACCGAUAGCGCACAAGUAGAGUGAUCGAAAGAUGAAAAGCACUUUGGAAAGAGAGUUAAACAGUACGUGAAAUUGUUGAAAGGGAAGCGCUUGCAACCAGACUUGCACGCAGCUGAUCAUCCGCUGUUCUCAGUGGUGCACUCGGUUGCGUUCAGGCCAGCAUCGGUUUUGGUGGUGGGAUAAAGGCCUUAGGAAUGUAGCUGCUUUCGGGCAGUGUUAUAGCCUAGGGUGCAAUGCCGCCUACUGGGACCGAGGACCGCGCUUCGGCUAGGAUGCUGGCGUAAUGGUUGUAAGCGACCCGUCUUGAAACACGGACCAAGGAGUCUAACAUCUAUGCGAGUGUUUGGGUGUCAAACCCAUACGCGUAAUGAAAGUGAACGGAGGUCAGAACCCUUAAGGGUGCAUGAUCGACCGGUCCUGAAGUCUUCGGAUGGAUCUGAGUAAGAGCAUAGCUGUUGGGACCCGAAAGAUGGUGAACUAUGCCUGAAUAGGGUGAAGCCAGAGGAAACUCUGGUGGA
rnacentral:rRNA from 1 species